rnacentral:lncRNA from 10 species
AGACUCUCGGUCUGUCCGCUGGGGGCGCGCGCGGUGUGUGGCAGGCGGCAGCGGCGCUGGCGGCCGAGUGCGCUUGUCACGCGUGGCGGUGCGUGGUUGCUAGGGGCGCCUGAGGCUGCCGGGUAGCCCAGCAGGCCGAGGGAGGAAGUAGCGUGGAGCCGGUGCCGAGCCGGGGCGAAGCUGGAUCCCCUAGAUAGACUGUCUUCAAGCUCACUGAUAUUUUCCUCUGCUUGAUCCAUUGUGCUGUUGAGAGCCUCUAGUAAAUUUUUCAGAAACCCAGUUCCUCAAAGGACAGUGAGGACACCAGCAAAGAGCCCAGCCUUUCUACCCAGACGUUACCUGUGAUCAAGUGCUCUGGGCAGACUUCAAGACUUUCUGCUUCCUCCACUUUCCAGUCAAUCAGUGACUCCCUCCUGGCUGUGAGCCCAUAACUGGCCUCUCUCCAAAAGCCUCUGCCCAGGAGCAUGGGCAUCAGCUACCUCACGGGAACCAGCCUGCUGUUCAGACCAGUCUGACCCCCUACCCCUUUCACCCUGUCCCUCCUCAGAGUAUUUUUUGAAGUGGUUGCAUUAUAGAGAUGGGUAUUUGUAGGGCCGGAGGGAUGGUAGUGAUGGGGAGAAGGUGAGGAAGGGUCACCCUCUGUCACCUGUCUGCCUGGCUGGCACCUCAUAUCUCAGCAGAGAAGCCAGUGGUGGCCACGCAGCCUUAUAAAGCAGGUUUUGGUUUCUACCUUAAGUGAGCCAUGUGUGGUUUGUCUGGGGGCCCUGGUGUGGUUGCUGAGUUGUAGCUCAAGAGGAGAAAACAUACAGAACAUAUUUGGACCGGAAAUCCUUUGUUCUGAAUUUGAGGGGGUCUUCUGAGGUCCUUACUUCCUUAGGUCUUUCCUCACCCCUCUCCCACCGCUGUCCUGAGGAGAAACCCUUGAACUUCCUCAGUAGACAGGCGGAGAGGCCACAACAUGCCGAACCCAUUUCCUGUCAUCCUAGUCUUGGGUCUUCACCGCCUCCUUCCAAAUACCCACCCUGCCAGCAGCCCUAGGUCUUCCUGUUCUGACCCCCCAUCACUGCUCGUUCAGCCUUCUAGAUGUCUCUCUCGUGGACAUCUGUUCUUUAGCUGUUGGCUUUCUCUGAGGUGUGAGAGGGUCUAUGAACUUUGUGAAUUUCCCAUGGCCCCAGUGAAGGAGCCCAGAUAAUCCCAGUAGCUGUUACCUGUCUCCAUGUAUCAAAGGACACAGUCCAGGGGGAGGGUGGAAGGAGAUGUGGUUUCUCUAUAGUGCAACAAACAUGGUUUCUCAAUGUUCUGCUGUGCAGCAAGCAGGGUCUGGCGGCUUGGUAGGUGGGUUUCAGGAGCAGUCACUAUUGUAGGAUGGGCUUCCAAUCAAACCUCAGACUAAACUCUUGUACUGAACUGAUUCUACCUCCCUCCUCUAGACUCAGUAAACAGUGACUAUUCAAU